rnacentral:rRNA from 1 species
UACAGAGGGUGCAAACGUUGUUCGGAAUUACUGGGCGUAAAGCGUGUGUAGGCGGCUACGCAAGUCGGAUGUGAAAGCCCUGGGCUCAACUCAGGAAGUGCACCCGAUACUGCGCAGCUAGAGUACCGGAGAGGUUGGUAGAAUUCUCGGUGUAGAGGUGAAAUUCGUAGAUAUCGAGAGGAAUACCUGUGGCGAAGGCGGCCAACUGGACGAGUACUGACGCUGAGACACGAAAGCGUGGGGAGCAAACAGG